rnacentral:rRNA from 1 species
UACGAAGGGGGCUAGCGUUGCUCGGAAUCACUGGGCGUAAAGGGUGCGUAGGCGGGUCUUUAAGUCAGGGGUGAAAUCCUGGAGCUCAACUCCAGAACUGCCUUUGAUACUGAAGAUCUUGAGUUCGGGAGAGGUGAGUGGAACUGCGAGUGUAGAGGUGAAAUUCGUAGAUAUUCGCAAGAACACCAGUGGCGAAGGCGGCCACCUGGACGGGUACUGACGCUGAUGCGCGAAAGCGUGGGGAGCAAACAGG